rnacentral:rRNA from 1 species
UACCAGCACCCCGAGUGGUCGGGACGAUUAUUGGGCCUAAAGCAUCCGUAGCCGGCCUUACAAGUCCUCCGUUAAAUCCAGCUGCUUAACAGAUGGGCUGCGGAGGAUACUAUAAGACUAGGAGGCGGGAGAGGCAAGCGGUACUCAGUGGGUAGGGGGUAAAAUCCUCUGAUCCAUUGAAGACCACCAGUGGCGAAGGCGGCUUGCCAGAACGCGCUCGACGGUGAGGGAUGAAAGCUGGGGGAGCCAAACCGG